GAUGAACGCUGGCGGCGUGCCUAAUACAUGCCAGUCGAGCGAACAGACGAGGAGCUUGCUCCUCUGACGUUAGCGGCGGACGGGUGAGUAACACGUGGAUAACCUACCUAUAAGACUGGGAUAACUUCGGGAAACCGGAGCUAAUACCGGAUAAUAUAUUGAACCUCAUGGUUCAAUAGUGAAAGACGGUUUUGCUGUCACUUAUAGAUGGAUCCGCGCCGCAUUAGCUAGUUGGUAAGGUAACGGCUUACCAAGGCAACGAUGCGUAGCCGACCUGAGAGGGUGAUCGGCCACACUGGAACUGAGACACGGUCCAGACUCCUACGGGAGGCAGCAGUAGGGAAUCUUCCGCAAUGGGCGAAAGCCUGACGGAGCAACGCCGCGUGAGUGAUGAAGGUCUUCGGAUCGUAAAACUCUGUUAUUAGGGAAGAACAAAUGUGUAAGUAACUAUGCACGUCUUGACGGUACCUAAUCAGAAAGCCACGGCUAACUACGUG
rnacentral:rRNA from 1 species